GAAAGAAGUGGGUCAUGUGGUCCAAUGUUGUAAUGACACCCAUGUCCUCAAAGAGUCGAAGGAACGGACUGAGAAAUUCAAGAGCAAUAGAAAUGAGCCAACUGCAGCUUCAGCGCAUCAAGACGAAGCUUACAGCACAGGGAGUGAGAAGUCACAGAAGUACUUACUGUAUGAUUCCACUGACAGCGAACAUCAGAGCAACUCAGAAACUAAUUUAAAAUCAAUCAAAGCCCUAAGUGUCAGAGUGAAAAUCCUAAGGCUUCUAGAAGAAACAGGAGACUAUCUUUGCAACCUUGCAGUAGACAAAGACUUCUUAGGAGCUUCAAAGCACUAACCGUCCAAGAAAAAAUACUGACAAACUGAGCUUCAUUAAAAUUAAGAAUUUUUGCUUAUUAAAAUAAGACAUGGUUAAUGAAGAGGCCAGCCUCAGCCUGGGAGAACGUGUUGACGAAGCAACCCCGGGAAAGGAUUUGGAUCCAGACUAGAUAAGGAAGUCCUGCAGCUCAACAACCCCCAGCAGCUGCAGGUUCCUGGCAGGCCGGCUCAGGGG